rnacentral:rRNA from 1 species
UACGUAGGGUGCGAGCGUUGUCCGGAUUUAUUGGGCGUAAAGGGCGCGUAGGCGGCUUGGCACGUCCGUUGUGAAAUCGCCCGGCUCAACUGGGCGGGGUCAGCGGAUACGGUCGAGCUUGAACAAGCUAGGGGGUAAUGGAAUUCCCGGUGUAGUGGUGGAAUGCGUAGAUAUCGGGAGGAACACCAGUGGCGAAGGCGGUUACCUGGGGCUUUGCUGACGCUGAUGCGCGAAAGCGUGGGGAGCGAUCCGG